rnacentral:sRNA from 1 species
UUUGUCAACUGCUUGAGAACCUGUGAGCAAUGUGGCAGUUGUACAUAACGACACUAAAAGUAGAACACUUCUGAACUUAAGUCUGAAGGUCAGUAGAGCUCGUUGGUUGGGUAAUAGUCAACUAGGGCCUACAUACAAGGAGAUAAAGUUUGGUGUCGAGGACAAAGAAAAUGUACGUUAUACAAUCUGUGCUGUGUAUUUGUGUGCUGAGGAUAGGCAAAAGUCACGCUAAUACCUCAGAGUCAAUGUCACCAGCCAGUAGAGUUCAAACACGAAGGCAGGGUCUGAAGAAUAUGACGCAGUCGUGGCCAUCGCAUUUGGUAUCGCUGCAGAUACUAACUUUCGUCUUUCUACCAGAAAGCUGUGAAUGACCAUGACAUUGAUCCUCUUGUGGCCGGAAAGAAAUUAAAAGUGAAGAGCCAACAGACAGAAAGAGA